UACGUAGGGGGCAAGCGUUAUCCGGAAUUACUGGGCGUAAGGCGCACGCAGGCGGUUUGCCAAGUUUGGAGUGACAGUUGUUGGCUCAACCGACAAAGGACUUCAAAAACUGGUGAACUUGAGGACGAGAGAGGUGAGUGGAAUUCCCAGUGUAGAGGUGAAAUUCGUAGAUAUUGGGAAGAACACCGGUGGCGAAGGCGGCUCACUGGCUCGUUUCUGACGCUCAGGCGCGAUAGCGUGGGGAUCAAACAGG
rnacentral:rRNA from 1 species